CGGCCCGCCGCCCCCGCCCCCCUACGGGAGGCAGCAGUGGGGUAUAUUGGACAAUGGGCGAUUGCCUGAUCCAGCCAUGCCGCGUGUGUGAAGAAGGUCUUCGGAUUGUAAAGCACUUUAAGUUGGGAGGAAGGGCAGUAAGUUAAUACCUUGCUGUUUUGACGUUAGGGACAGAAUAAGCAUCCGGCUGCUGGG
rnacentral:rRNA from 1 species